rnacentral:RNase_P_RNA from 1 species
UAAUAUAUAUAUCAUAUAGUAUAAUUAUUAGGAAAGUUAUAAUAUAGGCAAUAAAUAGUAAAUAUAUUUUUGAAGUAAACGUUAAUAUAUUAAUUAACUUCAAUUAAAUAAAUUAUCCUUAUAAUAUUUAGAAUUUAUAUUCUUAGUUAAAUAUUAAUACAAAAUAUAAGCUUAUUAAUUAUAUAAUAUAUGAUAUAUUUUAA